rnacentral:lncRNA from 1 species
AAUCACUCUUCUCCUACAUAACAGGAAUUGGAGCCGUGAUCUUUUUAUUUGCAUAAACAUAGGAAACAACUUGAAGACUAAGUCAUAUUGAACUAUGGUUGAGCGUAGUCUCAUCAAUAAUUGCAACUGAGAAAGAAUACAAUUUGUGGUUAUUAAGGUUAUAUUUAGAAUAAAUGGAGGUUAAAUUCAUCCAAAUCAUGCAUACAAUUGGAUCUAACUGCUGACCAUUAUAAAAACAUUAGGAAUAAGUAAAGGAAAAAAUGCAGAGUAAUAAAUUAUAAGAAUGAAAAAAAGAUUAUUUUUAUAAAUUUUAGUGAAGAAAAAAUUUGUUUUAUAUUUUUAUAAUAAAAUGAAUGAGAAGGAAUGAAAAAAAAAAGAUUUCUAAUAAAUGGUAAAAAAUAAAAAAUAGUAAAAAAUGCAUUAUUUCAUUUAAUUCUUUGAUCCCAAGUUAGACCAUUUGUGUUGAUGGAUUUGCAAAACAUUAUUUUCUUCUACUACUAAUUAAUUAGGAAUUUUAAAGAAAAAAAACUAAUUAGAUUCAUGGAUUUGAUAUUUUUAAGAAAAAAAUGAGAAUUUAACUAAAAGUUUUUAGAUGCUAAAACAAACUAAUCUUUAUUCAAACUUUUGAGUCCAUUCAACCAAUAUUUUCA